AACUCCCUUUUCAUUUUGCCAGUCAGACAUAAGUAUUGUUCAUUCAAGUGGGGCAAAGGAAGCAUUCUUUUAAAACUCAAGCAAACUGGGUAUUUUGUCUUGUACCCUAUCAGAGGAAGCAAAA